GAUGAACGCUGGCGGCGUGCCUAAUACAUGCAAGUCGAGCGCAGGAAGCCGUCCGAACCCUUCGGGGGGACGACGGUGGAAUGAGCGGCGGACGGGUGAGUAACACGUAAAGAACCUGCCCAUAGGUCUGGGAUAACCACGAGAAAUCGGGGCUAAUACCGGAUGUGUCAUCGGACCGCAUGGUCCGCUGAUGAAAGGCGCUCCGGCGUCGCCCAUGGAUGGCUUUGCGGUGCAUUAGCUAGUUGGUGGGGUAACGGCCCACCAAGGCGACGAUGCAUAGCCGACCUGAGAGGGUGAUCGGCCACACUGGGACUGAGACACGGCCCAGACUCCUACGGGAGGCAGCAGUAGGGAAUCUUCCACAAUGGACGAAAGUCUGAUGGAGCAACGCCGCGUGAACGAUGAAGGCUUUCGGGUCGUAAAGUUCUGUUGUAAGGGAAGAACAAGUGCCGCAGGCAAUGGCGGCACCUUGACGGUACCUUGCGAGAAAGCCACGGCUAACUACGUGCCAGCCGCCGCCGUAA
rnacentral:rRNA from 1 species